UUCUUACAGAGUUACUUGUAAGUAACACCUGCUCCAUGAUAUUAUUAAAUAGCCGCGGAAAUUUAACCGUGCUAAGGUAGCAUAAUCAUUAGCCCCUUAAUUAGGGGCUCGUAUGAAAGGUGAAACAUCUCAUCUACUUUAUUAAAUAAUAAGUCUUUUCAAAUUUAAAUUAAAAAUAAAAAUGUUUUUAUCCUACAAAUAGACGAUAAGACCCUAUUGAACUUUACUGAAGUUAAGCUGGGGCAGCUUAAAAAAAAUUAUCUUUUUACAUCUAUUUAUAUAAAUUACCCAAUAAAAUUGAGUCAAACAAGUUACCAUAGGGAUAACAGCGUAAUAUCUUUUUAAAGCUCUUAUUAAAAAAGAAGAUUGCGACCUCGAUGUUGAAUUAAUGUCACUUUACAAAUGCAAUAAUUUUAGAAGUAGGUCUGUUCGACCUUUAAAACAUUACAU
rnacentral:rRNA from 1 species